rnacentral:lncRNA from 1 species
GCUUAGGCUGGUGACGAGAUGGAUUGUUAGGUCGACUAUGAUGGCUGGACCCCACCCUUGGGCUACGGGGAGGUCGGUCUGUUGAUCUCCCUCCAGCUGAUUGCAGAUUUUUGAGAGCCAGAUGAGGUUCGUUGUUCUGCUGUAUUCUUCUAACCGCAGUCGAAAGUGCCUGCACCUAUUGGACGAGGUUGUCAUAUUGAUCUUGAAAAAUUAUCGGUGCUGCUGGUGGAUCCU